GACGAACGCUGGCGGCGUGCUUAACACAUGCAAGUCGAACGGAAAGGCCCUGCUUUUGUGGGGUGCUCGAGUGGCGAACGGGUGAGUAACACGUGAGUAACCUGCCCUUGACUUUGGGAUAACUUCAGGAAACUGGGGCUAAUACCGGAUAGGAGCUCCUGCUGCAUGGUGGGGGUUGGAAAGUUUCGGCGGUUGGGGAUGGACUCGCGGCUUAUCAGCUUGUUGGUGGGGUAGUGGCUUACCAAGGCUUUGACGGGUAGCCGGCCUGAGAGGGUGACCGGCCACAUUGGGACUGAGAGACGGACCAGACUCCUACGGGAGGCAGCAGUGGGGAAUAUUGCACAAUGGGCGGAAGCCUGAUGCAGCAACGCCGCGUGCGGGAUGACGGCCUGCGGGGUGUAAACCGCUUUCGCCUGUGACGAAGCGUGAGUGACGGUAAUGGGUAAAGAAGCACCGGCUAACUACGUG
rnacentral:rRNA from 1 species